CCUACGGGAGGCAGCAGUGGGGAAUCUUGGACAAUGGGGGCAACCCUGAUCCAGCCAUGCCGCGUGAGUGAAGAAGGCCCUAGGGUUGUAAAGCUCUUUCAGUCGUGAAGAUGAUGACGGUAGCGACAGAAGAAGCCCCGGCUAACUUCGUGCCAGCAGCCGCGGUAAU
rnacentral:rRNA from 1 species